rnacentral:rRNA from 1 species
GACGAACGCUGGCGGCGUGCUUAACACAUGCAAGUCGAACGGAAAGGCCCUGCUUUUGUGGGGUGCUCGAGUGGCGAACGGGUGAGUAACACGUGAGUAACCUGCCCUUGACUUUGGGAUAACUUCAGGAAACUGGGGGUAAUACCGGAUAGGAGCUCCUGCUGCAUGGUGGGGGUUGGUAAGUUUCGGCGGUUGGGGUUGGACUCGCGGCUUAUCAGCUUGUUGGUGGGGUAGUGGCUUACCAUGGCUUUGACGGGUAGCCGGCCUGAGAGGGUGACCGGCCACAUUGGGACUGAGAUACGGCCCAGACUCCUACGGGAGGCAGCAGUGGGGAAGAGUGCACAAUGGGCGGAAGCCUGAUGCAGCAACGCCGCGUGCGGGAUGACGGCCUUCGGGUUGUAAACCGCUUUCGCCUGUGACGAAGCGUGAGUGACGGUAAUGGGUAAAGAAGCACCGGCUAACUACGUG